GAUGAACGCUGGCGGCGUGCUUAACACAUGCAAGUCGAACGAAGAUGCCGGAGUGCUUGCACUUUGGCAGACUGAGUGGCGAACGGGUGAGUAACGCGUGGGUAACCUGCCUUAUACAGGGGGAUAACAGUUGGAAACGACUGCUAAUACCGCAUAAGCGCACGGUAUCGCAUGAUACAGUGUGAAAAACUCCGGUGGUAUAAGAUGGACCCGCGUCUGAUUAGCUAGUUGGUGAGGUAACGGCCCACCAAGGCGACGAUCAGUAGCCGGCCUGAGAGAGUGAACGGCCACAUUGGGACUGAGACACGGCCCAAACUCCUACGGGAGGCAGCAGUGGGGAAUAUUGCACAAUGGGGGAAACCCUGAUGCAGCGACGCCGCGUGAGUGAAGAAGUAUUUCGGUAUGUAAAGCUCUAUCAGCAGGGAAGAUAAUGACGGUACCUGACUAAGAAGCCCCGGCUAACUACGUG
rnacentral:rRNA from 1 species